GACGAACGCUGGCGGCGUGCUUAACACAUGCAAGUCGAACGGAAAGACUCCAACUUUCUGGAUUUCUCGAUUGGCGAACGGGUGAGUGACACGUGUGUAUACUGCCCUUCACUCUCUGGUAAGCCUUCGGAACAGGGGCUCAUACUGCAUAUAACCUUUCUCCCUGUGGGGUUUGGUGGAGAGAUGUGCGGUUUAUGAUGCGCCCGCGGCCUAUCAGCUUGUUGGUGGGGUUAGGUCCUACCAAGGCGACGACGGGUAGCCGGCCUGAGCGGAUGAUCGGCCACCUGGGGACUGAGAGACGGACCAGUAGGGUACGGGAGGCAGCAGUGGAGAAUAUUGCACAAUGGGCGGAAGCGUGUGGCAGAGAUGCCGCGUGCGGGAUGACGGCCUUCGGGUUGUAAACAUCUUUCAGCAGGGACGAAGCGUAAGUGACGGUACCUGAAGAAGAAGCACCGGCUAACUACGUG
rnacentral:rRNA from 1 species